GCUGAAGAGCUGAAGAGAAUCUUGCUGAAGAAUACGAUUUCAAUCAUAGUUCUUGCUGAAGAACACUAUUUUGUUGGACUAGGGUUUAUCAGGUUUUGCUGAGAGUAAAUUAAUAUUAUGCAGACACCAAAAUCAAGGUAGUGGACAUUAGAGGCAGCACAGUGAACUCUGCAGCAUUGCUGGUACUCUUUGUGAAGUUAGUCCUCUACAGGU